AUUGAACGCUGGCGGAAUGCUUUACACAUGCAAGUCGAACGGCAGCACGGGGCAACCUGGUGGCGAGUGGCGAACGGGUGAGUAAUACAUCGGAACGUGCCCAAUCGUGGGGGAUAACGUAGCGAAAGUUACGCUAAUACCGCAUACGAUCUACGGAUGAAAGCGGGGGAUCGCAAGACCUCGCGCGAAUGGAGCGGCCGAUGUCAGAUUAGGUAGUUGGUGGGGUAAAGGCUCACCAAGCCAACGAUCUGUAGCUGGUCUGAGAGGACGACCAGCCACACUGGAACUGAGACACGGUCCAGACUCCUACGGGAGGCAGCAGUGGGGAAUUUUGGACAAUGGGGGCAACCCUGAUCCAGCCAUGCCGCGUGCGUGAAGAAGGCCUUC
rnacentral:rRNA from 1 species